GAACUGCAUGCGCCCCACCAACCCCCGACUCCCACGCAGACGGUGGCACGGCCCGCAGGGUUCCCCCAGCGGAUGGUUCGCUCCGCCCCGCCUACAGAGGCAAUGAUCAGGCUUCUGCUGCGUUUCAAGACUCCCGCGUCCGACUCACAGCAGGGGACCUGCCAGGCCUUGGCCUUCCAAACCUCUUAAGGGUUGGGGACAGUGGUCCUUGGUGUUGCGCCCUGGCACUCACAUCGACGCAGCCUUGGGUCUAGUCUCUGGGACACCGGCCAGCCUCCGCCUUCAGAGCUGCUCGAGCGGUGUCUAUCAUGGUACACACACUGGAAAGAGCUUGUUCUUAACCUCAGCUUCACUGUCCUCCUCCCCCACAGAGACUAUUCCAGGAUGCGCGAUAGACACACAAGACACUCGGUGAGGGUUAAAGAUCUUUAAAUAAGGAGCCAGUGACAAUAAAUAAUACUGUACAGGGGA
rnacentral:lncRNA from 1 species